CUUCAUGUCCCGUUCGUGUGCUCCGGUAUCCCUGAUUGAACCUGUGUGUACCAACCUUCGUCCGUUCUCCGACCAACCUUGCUAAGUGUUCUCUAACCUACCCAUCAAAUUGAAUGACAAGCUGUGGCCGAAGCUUCCAGCCUCUCGGCCCCAACGAAAGGACUCUUGCUGCACUUUUUUGCCUUUAGUCAAAACAUUCACGCAACCUUCGAUGUCUUUACAGACAAGAACCCCCAGGCUAAGACUUUCUCGAUUACAACUUGGAAAUGCCGUGUUGCCGUGGAGCUGAGUUGAGGGAGGGAACCAACCUUGAAGUGGGCAGUGACUGACAACACCGCUCUGGUUCAAUGUGCACAACGUUAUCACAAAGUCGACAUCCUUUUUUUUUUGUUCAAGAAAAUGGGCUAUGUUGGUUUCUGUGUCCAGAUGUAAGCGUAAUCUGACAAAU